rnacentral:rRNA from 1 species
UACAGAGGGGGCAAGCGUUGUUCGGAAUUACUGGGCGUAAAGGGCGCGUAGGCGGCCCGCUAAGUCGAACGUGAAAUCCCCGAGCUCAACUCGGGAACUGCGUCCGAUACUGGCGGGCUUGAAUCCGGGAGAGGGAUGCGGAAUUCCAGGUGUAGCGGUGAAAUGCGUAGAUAUCAAGAGGAACACCUGCGGCGAAGGCGGGUUGCUGGGCCGACACUGACGCUGAAGCGCGAAAGCCAGGGGAGCGAACGGG